AUUGAACGCUGGCGGCAGGCUUAACACAUGCAAGUCGAACGAGUGGCGGACGGGUGAGUAAUGUCUGGGAAACUGGCUGAUGGAGGGGGAUAACUACGGGAAACGGUAGCUAAUACCGCAUACCAUCGGAUGUGCCCAGGUGGGAUUAGCUGGUUGGUGGGGUAACGGCUCACCAAGCCGACGAUCCCUAGCUGGUCUGAGAGGAUGACCAGCCACACUGGAACUGAGACACGGUCCAGACUCCUACGGGAGGCAGCAGUGGGGAAUAUUGCACAAUGGGCGCAAGCCUGACGCAGCCAUGCCGCGUGAAUGAAGAAGGCCUUCGGGUUGUAAAGUACUUUCAGCGGGGAGGCGUUACCCGCAGAAGAAGCACCGGCUAACUCCGUGCCAGCAGCCGCGGUAAUAC
rnacentral:rRNA from 1 species